rnacentral:rRNA from 1 species
UGCGUAGGCGGUCAUCUAAGUCACGUGUGAAAUCUUCUGGCUCAACCAGAAAACUGCGCGUGAAACUAGUUGACUUGAGUGAGGUAGGGGUGUGUGGAACUUCCGGCGGAGCGGUGAAAUGUGUAGAGAUCGGAAGGAACGCCAGCAGCGAAAGCGGCACACUGGGCCUUUUCUGACGCUGAGGCACGAAAGCUAGGGGAUGAACG